GAUGAACGCUAGCUACAGGCUUAACACAUGCAAGUCGAGGGGAAACGCCAUCGAAAGCUUGCUUUUGAUGGGCGUCGACCGGCGCACGGGUGAGUAACGCGUAUCCAACCUGCCCAUCACUUGGGAAUAACCUUGCGAAAGUAAGACUAAUACCCAAUGACAUCCCACGAAGACAUCUGAAUGGGAUUAAAGUUUUAUCGGUGAUGGAUGGGGAUGCGUCUGAUUAGCUUGUUGGCGGGGUAACGGCCCACCAAGGCAACGAUCAGUAGGGGUUCUGAGAGGAAGGUCCCCCACAUUGGAGCUGAGACCCGGUCCAAACUCCUACGGGGGGCAGCAGUGAGGAAUAUUGGUCAAUGGGCGAGGGCCUGAACCAGCCAAGUAGCGUGCAGGAGGACGGCCCUAUGGGUUGUAAACUGCUUUUAUAAGGGAAUAAAGUGGGUCUCGGGAGACUUUUUGCAUGUACCUAAUGAAUAAGGACCGGCUAAUUCCGUG
rnacentral:rRNA from 1 species